rnacentral:rRNA from 1 species
UGGUAGUCCAUGCCGUAAACGAUGAUUACUAAGUGUUGGAGGGUUUUCCGCCUUUCAGUGCUGCAGCUAACGCAUUAAGUAAUCCGCCUGGGGAGUACGACCGCAAGGGUUGAAACUCAAAAGAAAUUGACGGGGGGCCCGCACAAGCGGUGGAGCAUGUGGUUUAAUUCGAAGCUACGCGAAGAACCUUACCAGGUCUUGACAUCUUCUGCCAACCUAAGAGAUUAGGCGUUCCCUUCGGGGACAGAAUGACAGGUGGUGCAUGGUUGUCGUCAGCUCGUGUCGUGAGAUGUUGGGUUAAGUCCCGCAACGAGCGCAACCCUUAUUACUAGUUGCCAGCAUUCAGUUGGGCACUCUAGUGAGACUGCCGGUGACAAACCGGAGGAAGGUGGGGACGACGUCAAAUCAUCAUGCCCCUUAUGACCUGGGCUACACACGUGCUACAAUGGAUGGUACAACGAGUCGCGAAACCGCGAGGUUUAGCUAAUCUCUUAAAACCAUUCUCAGUUCGGACUGUAGGCUGCAACUCGCCUACACGAAGUCGGAAUCGCUAGUAAUCGCGGAUCAGCAUGCCGCGGUGAAUACGUUCCCGGGCCUUGUACACACCGCCCGUUACACCAUGAGAGUUUGUAACACCCAAAGCCGGUGGGGUAACC